AUGCUUCUCCUAAAGACUAAGCCAUGCAUGUCUUCGUAAUAAGAGGAAGCAAUUCUCUCUGAAUCUGCGAACGGCUCCGCAAACCAGUUGUAAACUAUAGCAAGCAAGCUCGUGCCCUCACCGGGUGCGGGCAACACGGAUAACCCUGGUAAUUACUGAGGCUAAUACGAGACCGUAAUCCCUGGUUGGUCGGGCAACUGACUGGCUGGGGAGCGUGUGAUUCUUCCGCUGGAUUUUUUCCAGAACGGGUA
rnacentral:rRNA from 1 species